rnacentral:rRNA from 1 species
UACGUAGGGUGCGAGCGUUGUCCGGAGUUAUUGGGCGUAAAGAGCUCGUAGGCGGUGUGUCACGUCGGCCGUGAAAACCUGCAGCUUAACUGUGGGCGUGCGGUCGAUACGGGCAUCACUGGAGUUCGGCAGGGGAGACUGGAAUUCCUGGUGUAGCGGUGAAAUGCGCAGAUAUCAGGAGGAACACCGGUGGCGAAGGCGGGUCUCUGGGCAACAACUGACGCUGAGGAGCGAAAGCGUGGGGGAGCGAACAGG